CACGUAGGGUGCGAGCGUUGUCCGGAAUUAUUGGGCGUAAAGAGCUCGUAGGCGGUGUGUCACGUCGGCCGUGAAAACCUGCAGCUUAACUGUGGGCGUGCGGUCGAUACGGGCAUCACUGGAGUUCGGCAGGGGAGACUGGAAUUCCUGGUGUAGCGGUGAAAUGCGCAGAUAUCAGGAGGAACACCCGUAGCGAAGGCGGCACUCUGGGCCGAUACUGACACUGAGGAGCGAAAGCGUGGGGAGCGAACAGG
rnacentral:rRNA from 1 species